rnacentral:rRNA from 1 species
UACGUAGGGCGCGAGCGUUGUCCGGAAUUAUUGGGCGUAAAGAGCUCGUAGGCGGUUUGUCGCGUCGGUUGUGAAAACCCAAGGCUCAACCUUGGGCCUGCAAUCGAUACGGGCAGACUAGAGUACUGCAGGGGAGACUGGAAUUCCUGGUGUAGCGGUGGAAUGCGCAGAUAUCAGGAGGAGCACCGGUGGCGAAGGCGGGUCUCUGGGCAGUAACUGACGCUGAGGAGCGAAAGCGUGGGGAGCGAACGGG